ensembl:lncRNA
UUUUUUUCUUUUUUUUUUUUCUUUUAGCAAUAUAAAUGACACAGAAGAGGAUGGGACAGAGAUUAUGGAAUCUGAAUGUACAUGGAUGUCAAUCAGUAAUAUCCUUUUAAACUUUCUGCACAUGGUAUUCCGAGCCACUAGAAAGCAAAUUCUCCUAACCCCAACAGCUGUCCUAUAUGUACGUUUUAGUAUUCUACUUGUUGACCUAUUUCAAGAUGUAUUGUUUACUCAGCAAUCUCUUAUCUGAUUUAUAGAUUUGAGUUAGGACCUUAUUCUAAAGAGCUGCAGAAAGUAUAUGCUCUUUUCUGAGGAGCAUUGCACUGAGCCAUCCAUCACAUAUAUUUAGGUUAUCCACUUUCCAUUUCACAGACAGAAAUUAGAUAUCUUUUUACUUUUUAUUUUUAUUUUUUUCCCCUCUGGUUACAUUAUUCUAUUGCAAUGAGAUUUUGCAAGUCAGCCUGAUGAAGGCACAAUGUUAUUACAUUAAAGCUCUCUCCAAGUCAUUGGCUUUAAAUGACAUUAGAAGUACAUGGAUAUUAUUCUAUGAAGUAUGGUCAAUUGGUUCCAGAUGAAACAAUGUUGUAGUUGCAAUUUACUACAUGAAGUGAUCAAUAUGUUGAAAUGCUUUGACAAGGCAGAACCAGAAUCUCUGGGAAAACACAACCAGCAGCAUCACAGUCUGUAGAGACUGCUCUCUGCUCCUGGAAAAAAAAAGGGAUUGAGCUUUCACUCAGCAGACAUUUCAGCUUCCAAGGACUUUGCUGUUUAAUUUAUUUUGGAAAAGGUAGGAUGGCUCUGGAGGACACAGGUGUCUGCUUCCUCUGGGCUGAGGACACAGCUGCCAAGGAGGGAAAGACCAUUUCCUGAUUAGAGUUUGCAAUCAGUGAUAUGGACAGAGGCAGGAGAUAAAAAUAACCAGCAGCUGAGGCAUGAGACAGCAGUGUGGUGACCAUGGUCACUUUAAUAGGUAGCAUUUUCAGUGUCUACCAUUUUUCAGCCUUCUUAGAUACAAAAAUUUUAGGAGACAUUUGAAGGCAGUUUUGCAAACAGCUGAGUAGGUCCUUUCAGCAAAAUGGGUGGUGUAGGAAUAAAAUCAGAGAGCUUUGUAGGCGAUUCAAUGUUGUUGUCAUUAACAAAGACAAACAAUCAUCUUUGAAAUAACCCAAAAAGAAUUUGCAAAAUGAACUGAUGUCUUUGCUAGCAGCUGGGUUGUGGGGAUGAAUUGCUUUCCCAAGCCUGGGGGAAGCAGAAAGCACUCUUGCUGUGCUGAGAGGAUGUGGUAGGGAAAACCUGUGUUUUUCAUUGCAGGUGUGUACUGCAAAUAUUUGCAGAAGUGAAGCUGUGGUGCUUCUUGUUUCACACAAAAGAAAAGGAAAAAGUAAAUCAUUUCUUCAGAGUUAAAUACUUCCAUUGCAAAAAAUCAACAUUUCAGUAACCUGUGACUGUACCAGAAUCGAUAGGCAAACAUCAGGGAGAGAUUAGUGUGAAACCUCUCAUCAGCCUCCAUAGGAAAGGCAUCAUGUUCCAAGCUGACAGUGGCCUUUUAACUUUGCUGGUGUGUAAGGAAAAUUCUUACAUGCUAAUAGUAAAAUUAUAAUUUCCCAUGAUUGAAAGGCAGGAGCUACUAAGCAUAACAAAGUGAGUUUCUCCUGCUCACUAGGACAUCUGCCAGCAACUGUGAUCAAAUUAUAGCUUUCCUUGGCCCACAGUCAGGAGCAAACUGCUUAUCCUUGAUCAAAAGCACAGUCUGCUUGGGUGGAGAUGCUUCAAUUAUUGGUGACAAAAGCCCUUUGAAGUGACAGUCUCAGGAUGUCUCAGUGUUCGCAUAUGGGGGAAUCAAUUGACUAAUUACAGCAAGAAAUAACCUCAGCAAUGAUACUGAAAGAGAAGGUGGAGGUCUGAGCUGCAGGCAGCAGGUGUGAGGGUGGCCAGACAAGCGGGACCUGCAGGGGCUAAGGGCUGUGGGUGGGGAACGAGACAUUUGGGGUUGAUCAGUUGCCAUGGGAUGUGUCUGGCUUUAUGAUCUGGUUCUUGAUAUGCAAAAGCAGCAGGGGAACCAACUAAAAAUUUGCAGUGGACAGAGCAGUGUUUCACAGUUGUGCCUUGCAAAGAAAGGCUUUAUCUCCAUCAUGGGCCAAUCCCAGCAGCAGCCCCAGGCUCUCUGCGCCAAGCAGAGCCGCAGCACAGGAAACCAGUUCCAUAGUGCUCUAAGGGAUAGAAAAACCCAAAAUAACUUCUACCGUUGAUUGAAACCCCAUCUUUUUACCUAACUAAAUUCAGAGCAAAGGCAGAAAGCCAAUGGAACGACAGUGGCAGUUAGGAUCAUGCUACACCUGGGGAAAUCCCCCCAUCCUGCAAGGUUUAUCUGUGAGGAAGGAUUUGUGACUAGGAUGAGAAUACCUGCUCUCCCCAAUCUUCCCGGCUUCCCUGGUAAACCAAAGCCAGGCAGGCAUCCUGAAUUGUGGCCACAGGCCUCCUGUCUGCUAGUGGGUGUGGGGAGGACUCAUUUCAAAGGGUGGAAGUUACAGCACCCAGAUGGAUUCCCCUUUGGCAGCAGAUGAAAGCCGUGUGGUUUCAGAACAAAGACUUUGAUUUUUGCAUGUAGGAAAUUAAGAGAUCAGCUGAGCAAUGUUAUACAAUCUGGAGGGGAAGCCUUAAAGUUAAAAAAAGAACAUUUUACUUGGUGCAUUAGGCACUGGUGUUGACUGAGGCAUUCUGUGCUAAAUGAAGUAGUAAUAUGGUGCAGGUGAGAGCACUGGCCCAGGACAGUGGUGACAGCAGAUUAUGUCUCUUCUACACUGUGGGAUAUCACUGCUACUAAAAACAGGAGAAAAGUGCUCUUUUUUUAAAAAACAAUCUAUUUGUGGCUGAUUAGAAAUGGGGGCUGGAAUAAAAAAGCAAUGUUAUUUGUUACUUAAGGUACAAAAACCAGUAAUAAUUUUCUACUUUUUCUCACUUUGGCUGGACUUGUGUGCUGGGGGCUGACUUGGAAGGACUGGCUGGCAUCAAGUGCUUUCCUUAUGCUUCACGGGUCCCGUGCAUGAUCCUGUUGAGAACACACCCGAGUCAAACCAAGAUUCCCAUGGCACUGGCAGUUGAGAACUUCUUUUAGAUCCUGGCUCUAAGAAAAAGCUUUGUGCUGUAUGUAAUUCCUCAUUCCAUGGGUUUAUGAAUGUUCCUCAUGCUGUCUCGCCUCUCAUGCACCCCAGGCUGCUGUCAGGGCUAUUCCCCACACUGUCCCUCGCUAUUGCUGAGAGCUGUGCUGUCACUGAAGAACCUUUUCCCAGAGAAAGCUCCAGUUUCAGGGAGAGGCAGUGCAUGGUGGUGUGGCUGGGGAGCCACGAGGCAGCCCCUGGCCCCUCUCCUCACAGUGGCUGCUCCCCAGCUGCCAGCACCUGGGCACCAAAGCAGGCAUGGAUCUUCUGCACCACAGCAGGUGUGGAUCUCCUCCUGCACCACAGCAGGUGUGGAUCUUCUCCUGCACCACAGCAGGUGUGGAUCUCCUCCUGCACCACAGCAGGCAUGGAUUUUCUCCUGCACCACAGCAGGCAGGGAUCUUCUGCACCACAGCAGGCGUGGAUCUUCUCCUGCCCACCCUGCCGCCAUCAGGCCUUGUCGGAUGUGGCCACAUCUACUCUACCCCCCGCUCCCACCAUUGCUGGGAGCAGCACUGGCAUGGCCCCUGUGCAAGCUGGCACCCAGCAGGAAGGUUUGCCUUCUUCAGGUAUUUCCCUCCAGGCAGAAAUGGAGUAAAAAUGGUGCUGGGAGAAACAAUGAGUCCCAUCCCAGGCGAGAGGGCCCUCAUGCACUGAGGUGGCUCCGCCGGGUUCCCACCACUGUGGGGGACAGGGAGAAUUUGUUUCCGACCUCGCUUUGGGGUUUUUGGUACACGCCUUGGUGGCCCUCCCACAUUUUUAGGAGUUACACUGGACUGCCCCCAGCCUACAGCACCUGCUUGAGGGGCAGGAGGGUUGUUAAGGAGCCCCAGGGGAGAUGACAUUUCUGUGCAUCAGCAACCAGGCCUAAGGCAGUGCUCCUACGCCUUCCCGAGGUCUGAGGCACGUGGUGAAUCCAUGGAUGUGGGGAUCUCAGGCAGGAGCCAGCAAUGUCCACAGCUGGGCCAGGCUGCAGGCUCCCACCUUGGAGAGCUGGUGGUGAUGGAGAGCUUGAGUUGAUGAAUUGUGCCCCUUGGUCCUUGCGCACGUGGAAGGGGAAGAAGGUGAGGGUGGAGGGAUUAAUGAAUAAUUAAACUCUGAGACAGAGGAACAUACAUAAUGCAUGAUAAAUUAGUCCAAGUGCAGCAGAGGAAGCAUGGGUAAAGUUUGUUUCAACAAGCAUAAAAUUGGAUGUGACAAGGUAUUGACACCAGAACAGCUGUUUGCUAAAAUUUUUCAUUUAUUUAUAUAGAUUUCCUCCCCCUCACAGUUAGGGGUCAGCCUAGAGUGGGACAGAAAUCAACAAUAGAGAUGGAAAACAAGUUUGGCUCCUGUUGGUUCUCAGUCCAGCACACUCCCUGUCUGGGAGAUCUCCCUCCCUGCUUAGUGCUCUUCUUCCCUUUCUGGUAAUCUGAGGCAAUAUUUCCUGCCUGGUCACUUGGGCUGCUCUUUGGCUGCAGCUAAGGCAGGCAGGGUAAUGCUCUUAAUUCCAUGGAAACAGAGAGGCCCGUGUUGACUCACUCUAGCCUUUUCUGAUCCCAGAUUUCAUAAAUGUUUUCUUUCUUCUAAACUGUAUUUGCUCUUACAACAUAAAUUAUUUAUAAGAUGUUACAUUUUUUACAGAUGGUAAUGAGGCUGCCAAGCAGAGGGCAUCAACUCUACUGCAGUGUCAAACUGAUUUAAGUGGGGGUGUGUGUAAAUAAAAACCCAGUCCCUUCCUUUUAUUGAACA